UUGGCCCCGGAGAAAGAAACCUCACUGUGGCGGUAACAGGAAGCACUCUAUUUGAGGAAAGGCCAUGUUUCCGCAGCAAGCCCAGCCCCCCGGAUCUUGAACGGUACGCUAGCCAUUCCUCGAGAGAAACCCAAGGCGGACACUCACAAGACGGCCACAGUUUUCCUACUGCCUGCUGCCAAGUGUCCUGAGGGCCCAGCUAUUGGGAUAAGAUGUUGCAGAAUUUUGAUGUAUUUAUUUAUUAUUAUUAUUUAAAAUUUAUAUAUAAUAUACAGCUCAUACAUAUUGUAUAUAAAUUCUAAAAUUAUAUGUAUGUAUAAAAACCUCUGAGAUUUCAGAUUUUCUGUAGUGUCCGAGGGCUAGAAAAUGUGGCAGUGGGGGAAGGUAGUGGUGGAAGGAUGGGUGAGAGAGAGAGGAGAGAGAGGAAAGGAGUGGAGAGAAGCCCAGAGGGCUGGGGGUGGGAGGAAAGAGAAAGGAAAGGGCAAUGAGGGAAAAGGUGCUGGAAAGAGCACAGGCUUUACAAUCAGACAACUAGCUUGUUACUCUGUGACCUUGGGAAAGUUACGUAAACACUCCAGGUCAUUAAUAUUUGUUUUCCAUGUUCUAUGUUGGGUAUGUACAAUAUCUGGCAUAUACAAGGUGCUCAACUGUGUAAGCAAUGUCAUUCCACAUGCACAUAUAGGUAAUAAAAGGAAAUCAAAUAAAUUUGCCAGUCCAGUUUUCUUAUCUUUAAUAAAGGCUUAUGUGAACCGAUACAGAUGGGCACAAUCGCAAGACAUUCUGUGAGCAUGGCUUCUAUCUUUGAGCAAGUAGGGUUCUGAAUACCAAACUCCAGGAUUUGACCAACUUAUUCAUCAGUCUCAGGCAAUGCCAGAAUACGGCAGGCUUCCUCAGGUGGAGGGAGAUGCCCGCUGUGGGUGGCUUCUAAGAAGAGGAACAGAAGCAGGAGCUAGGCCCUGCAUGAUUUCUUUCUCCUCCUAAACUCUCCCCGCCCCGAGGGAAGUCAGUUCACCUCCCCAGGGGAGGGAUGGGUCAGGAAGCUGAAGAGGCCAGGUGUGUUAUGCUGAUGACAUCCUUCCACCUGGACAAGGUCAAUCGGAAGGAGCUGGGGCACGAGCGUCCCACCAUCCAGCCAGUUCCCAAAGUCAGCAGCGGGACAUUUGCAGAACUAGGAGAAUUAAUGGGCCUCUAGAACUGGCCCAUUUCAAUACUUUGAACAACUCUCUGAAUAAAAAAUUGUAUCAGUUUAUACAUUUUACUGAUAUAAAGGGUGUGUAGCACACGACUUAUAAACAAUAAUAAAAUAUAC
ensembl:lncRNA